GUUGGGCACAUGCUUGAUCCGUAUGGCAUUUGGAGCAAAUCCAGUAAAUAAUGGUAAAUAAUGGUAAAUACGGAUUCACGAGGAUGAACUUAAAGAUUUGAGAGAAAAUUUCGAUCAGUGUGGGCUGUGACGUUUCUAAACGUCAUUGGCAACUGUCACCUAGAUUAGUUUUGUAUUUCGAAGAAGAUUCGGAUGGAACUAGAAAAACUAGAACUACCCGGACUGGAGCCGGAAGCUGAGGAAUGUGGCCAAAUCAUUUUUGGUCAAACAACACCUGCUGAAUAGAGCGGCAAAGGCGAAGGUGUCGUUUACCUAGUGAUGGAACUGGGUUGUCGUUGAUCCAGUUGUGUACGGUAAAAAAUUGGCAUGCUGUGUUCGACACCUAUAAAACCGGAACAAACCCCUCCCCCCACGAAGUAGCACCUAGCAUCCCCGCUGAUCGUGUCGAAGCUUACCCGGGACGACCCCGACUAAAGUAUCGAAGAAGCGCUUGUACGGUCUUUCGCACAUCAUCAGCGACGUAGUGCUCUUGCGCAUCCGCCUUCUUCAUGGCUUGGUCGCUAAC